rnacentral:lncRNA from 1 species
AUUUUUUCAGAGAUCACAUGUGGUUUGAGGGAGGAUAGAGAGGACAGGGUGUCAAGAACAGCAUUUUUACCAAGUUGAUAUAAAAAUGAAACAGGAUCCAGGCAUGGGUCUUUACACUGAUAGUUACAGUAAGUUUUAAAAUCUGAGCAGCAAUUUGAAUCACUUGUUGAAAAACACACAAAAUAUAUUUUUUGUAGAGGUGGGGGUCUUGCUCUGUUGCCCAGGCUGGUCUUGAACUCGAGAUUCUCCUGCUUUGGCCUCCCACAAGUGCUGGGAUUACAGGCGUGAGCUACUGCACCCGGCCUGCUUUCUUUUUAGUGAAAAGGAUCUGUGGGAGCUUUUAUUCCCAUGGCUGCCUUCCUCAAGUCAACCUCUUUCCCCGGAAAUGGCAUCAUCUCUGGACUGUUGUUUCUCCUUCUUCCUUCUCCUCCUUCUCCUCCUCCUCCUCCUCCACCAUGCCCGGCUGAUUUUUGUAUUUUUAGUAGAGACAGGGUUUCACUAUAUGGGCCAGGCAGAUCUCGAACUCCAAACCUCGUGAUCCACCUACCUUGGCCUCUGAAAGUGCUGGGAUACCGUGGCCUCUGAAAGUGCUGGGAUUACAGGCAUGAGCCACCGCGCCCGGCCCCGUUGUUUCCCUUCUAAGAAACGCAGUGGUCUCUGAAGCCUGCAGGGGCAGGCCAGCCCUGCACUGAACGCCUGUUCUUGCCAGGUGGCAGAAGGUUGCUGCUCAUUUGAGCAGUACCUGUCACCCCUCCUCCCACUGCUGCGGCUGUUAACUCAUCUUCAGGUCUCACACCUUCUGCACAUAAAUAAGCUAUUUUUAAAAGUUAUUAUUUUUUUACUCUUUCUUUUCUUUGGAGAGGGUACCAAAGGAUAGCUGUUCUGUUUAAGUAGGGACCUCUCAUGGCCUACAGGCUUUGACAUCUGAGAAUCAAACUGGAGAACAUUCCGAAGCCGUUCUUAUAAGUGUCUCCAUCUCUACCUGGGCUGAAAUGGAAUGUGCAAAUGUAGCCCAGCCUGGUCCUUGGGUGUUGCCAGUUGAUUGAUGACUGGGAGCCAAAGUGGCAUCUCCUUUGACCUAAACGGGCGAUGAUGAAAUAAAACUCAACAGCCUUUCUCUCAUCUUGCAUUGUGAGAUGCGAAAUAGAGCGUGUCUCUCUGCCUCUCAUUUUAGGCUGAGGCCGUCCAAAGCGGCCAUGCCCCAUGUUUCCACUAGAUGGCGCUGACACUUCAGGCAUCAACCCUCAUGGCCUCUCAGCCUUGCAAAGGCAGCCACUUAAAGUCGGUGUCCUGUGUGGGGCACCAAGCUGAGCUGCAGACACCCAGUAGGCGCGAGGCAAAUGCGUCCCAUUUUAAGAGGCUUGUAUUUAUGAGCUCUUUGCUUCCUCCCUCCCACUAACUUUAAAGAAUUGCUCUCCAUCUCCUUUGGCAAAGUUCCUUUGCCCUUUGUCUUAUUUUUGUGAAACCCUCCAAGGUAUUUCCAGUCCAUUUGCAUCCAAUCUGGCAUCUUUACGGAGAGCGGUCUCAUAUGCUAUUGUUGUUAACGUGGACUAGUAUUUAUGUGUUGAGAACACUGGCUGUUUGUCAGGAAAAGUGUGCCAAAACAAAGAGUACGGCCGGCCCUGGAAAUGCAUCAGCAAAACCCAUUUCCCCCGUGCACUCAUUCUGAGCUUCCUUCCUUCAUUUCUGUCAUUACUGCUGAGAACUGGACUGUGCCCAGCUGACCUUUCCCUUCCUUGCCCUCAUCUUGCUGCCAGGGUCUGCAGGUUUGCCACCGUCCCGGCCCCAGUCUGAAACAUGGGAUUAUUUCAGAAUUGGAGGUGGCAGCUUCAGAAAAAAAUCCUUCUCGUGUGUUGACUGCUGAGAUCCAGGAACUGGGAAAUCAACCCCCAGUUUGUAGAUUGCUCUCUUUGGAAAUUCUGUGGCCCAACCUCGUGGCUGUUUUCUGGAAUUCCUUCUAUCGGGGCAGACAGUGCUGUGCCUUUCUUGACUUCAGGAUGUUCCAAGGAUGCUGCUGGAUCUGUGUGUGUGUGUGUGUGUGUGUGUGUGUGUGUGUGUGUGCGUGCGUGCGUGUAUGUGCGCCUGACCCUGAUUUCUGCAACCUCCAGAUUUCUUUCUUGACCCUUCAAAGUGGAACAGUCCAGUGCCAAAAAUUUUAGAGUUUGAGAAGGUCACAGAAAUCCUCUAGUUGGUGCCUCCACAGUCUUCAUUUUACAGAGGAACUCAGGGCUAAUGGAGUUAAUGCAACUAGAUCAGGGUUUUGGGUCUGUGUUCUUUCUACCGUCAGCACCUGUGUGGUCAAUUCUGGACACUUCCCAGAGAAGUCUUUGAGUAGAGAAUCCUACUCAAAUUUCACUGUAUAUUUUAAGCAUUCCUCUCCUUUCCCUUUGCCUCCCCUGUUGCCUUUUCUUCCCCUGAUUUCUCCUCUGGUCAUCUCCUCUCCCUUCUGCGUGUAAGCCAUGGGAAAGGGAUGAGGGAGGACAGCUUCUGGUUAAACACAGGUCCCUCUUCCACAUCAAAUGAACAUUGGCUUCCUGGGACAGAAGGCCUUCAAAGGAGGGAUUGCAAAGCAAGGCAAAGCGUUCUGUCUUCAUUUUCCCCAUCCCCAUGAGACAAGACUGAUGGAAAGGGUGGUGGGGCAACACUGCUUAAUGGAUGCCUUUUCACAUCAUUUCAGUUUUUAGCCCUCAUGACUGUAUUUUCUAAUCAGAGACAAUAACAUUUUAAAUAAAACAACGAC